rnacentral:misc_RNA from 1 species
AAAAUUAAGAAUGUUUUGGGAGUUAUUAUAGUAAUUUAGGUAAGAGAUAAUUAAAUAUGUUGAUAGUGGGUGUAUUAAGAAGUUUUAGAUUUUAGAUAUAUUUUGAAAAAAAUAUAAAUAGGAGGUAAUGAUUGAUAGGGUAUGGGAUUAUAGUAGAAAAGAUUUAAGGAAUAAUUUAGUAUUUUUUAUUCGAGUAAUUAAAAGGAUGGAGUUUUUUAGAAUGGGA